rnacentral:rRNA from 1 species
AUUGAUUUUAUGCUUGCAUAAAUGAUUUUUGGAUUCGGAGCGAGUGGCGAACUGGUGAGUAACACGUGGGUAACCUGCCCCGAAGCGGGGGAUAACAUUUGGAAACAAGUGCUAAUACCGCAUAAUUAGUUGGAACCGCAUGGUUCCAACUUGAAAGAUGGCUCUGCUAUCACUUUGGGAUGGACCCGCGCCGUAUUAGUUAGUUGGUGAGAUAAAAGCCCACCAAGACGAUGAUACGUAGCCGACCUGAGAGGGUAAUCGGCCACAUUGGGACUGAGACACGGCCCAGACUCCUACGGGAGGCAGCAGUAGGGAAUCUUCCACAAUGGACGAAAGUCUGAUGGAGCAACGCCGCGUGAGUGAUGAAGGUUUUCGGAUCGUAAAACUCUGUUGUUAAAGAAGAACAAGUGUUAGAGUAACUGUUAACACUUUGACGGUAUUUAACCAGAAAGCCACGGCUAACUACGUGCCAGCAGCCGCGGUAAUACGUAGGUGGCAAGCGUUGUCCGGAUUUAUUGGGCGUAAAGCGAGCGCGGGCGGUUUUGUAAGUCUGCUGCGAAAGCCCUCAGCUCAACUGAGGAAGUGCAGUGGAAACUACAAAACUUGAGUACAGAAGAGGAAAGUGGAACUCCAUGUGUAGCGGUGAAAUGCGUAGAUAUAUGGAAGAACACCAGUGGCGAAGGCGGCUUUCUGGUCUGUUACUGACGCUGAGGCUCGAAAGCAUGGGUAGCGAACAGGAUUAGAUACCCUGGUAGUCCAUGCCGUAAACGAUGAAUACUAGGUGUUGGAGGGUUUCCGCCCUUCAGUGCCGCAGCUAACGCAUUAAGUAUUCCGCCUGGGGAGUACGACCGCAAGGUUGAAACUCAAAGGAAUUGACGGGGGCCCGCACAAGUGGUGGAGCAUGUGGUUUAAUUCGAUGCUACGCGAAGAACCUUACCAGCUCUUGACAUCUUCUGCCAACCCAAGAGAUUGGGCGUUCCCUUCGGGGACAGAAUGACAGGUGGUGCAUGGUUGUCGUCAGCUCGUGUCGUGAGAUGUUGGGUUAAGUCCCGCAACGAGCGCAACCCUUAUUAUUAGUUGCCAGCAUUUAGUUGGGCACUCUAGUGAGACUGCCGGUGAUAAA